GAUCGAAUAGCUAAAGUGGUUAAAGCAGGCGGUUUACAUCCGUCGUUCGUGGGUUCGAAUCCCACUUCAAAUG
rnacentral:tRNA from 1 species